rnacentral:rRNA from 1 species
CCUACGGUGGGCUGCAGUGAGGAAUAUUGGUCAAUGGCCGAGAGGCUGAACCAGCCAAGUCGCGUGAGGGAAGAAUGUCCUAUGGAUUGUAAACCUCGUUUGUCAGGGAGCAAAGUCACCCACGUGUGGGUGUUGGAGAGUACCUGAAGAUAAAGCAUCGGCUAACUCCGGGCCAGCCGCCGCGGUAAUACGGAGGAUGCGAGCGUUAUCCGGAUUUAUGGGGUUUAAAGGGUGCGUAGGCGGGUUAUCAAGUCAGCGGUAAAAUGGUGGAGCUAAACUCCACCCAGCCGUUGAAACUGAUGAUCUUGAGUGGGCGAGAAGUAUGCGGAAUGCGUGGUGUAGCGGUGAAAUGCAUAGAUAUCACGCAGAACUCCGAUUGCGAAGGCAGCAUACCGGCGUCCGACUGACGCUGAAGCAUGAAAGCGUGGGUAUCGAACAGGAUUAGAUACCCUUGUAGUC